UACAGAGGUCUCAAGCGUUGUUCGGAUUCAUUGGGCGUAAAGGGUGCGUAGGCGGCGCGGUAAGUCGGGUGUGAAAUCUCGGAGCUUAACUUCGAAACUGCAUUCGAUACUGCCGUGCUUGAGGACUGGAGAGGAGACUGGAAUUUACGGUGUAGCGGUGAAAUGCGUAGAUAUCAGGAGGAAUACCAGCGGCGAAGGCGGCGCUCUGGGCCGGGUACUGACGCUGAGGAGCGAAAGCGUGGGGGAGCAAACAGG
rnacentral:rRNA from 1 species